AUUGAACGCUGGCGGCAUGCCUUACACAUGCAAGUCGAACGGCAGCACGGGAGCAAUCCUGGUGGCGAGUGGCGAACGGGUGAGUAAUAUAUCGGAACGUACCUUUCAGUGGGGGAUAACGUAGCGAAAGUUACGCUAAUACCGCAUAUUCUGUGAGCAGGAAAGCAGGGGAUCGCAAGACCUUGCGCUGAUUGAGCGGCCGAUAUCAGAUUAGCUAGUUGGUGAGGUAAAGGCUCACCAAGGCGACGAUCUGUAGCGGGUCUGAGAGGAUGAUCCGCCACACUGGAACUGAGACACGGUCCAGACUCCUACGGGAGGCAGCAGUGGGAAUUUGGACAAUGGGGGCAACCCUGAUCCAGCCAUGCCGCGUGAGUGAAGAAGGCCU
rnacentral:rRNA from 1 species